UACGUAGGGUGCAGGCAUUAAUCGGAAUUAUUGGGCGUAAAGGGCGCGUAGGCGGAUUGAUAAGUCAGAUGUGAAAUACCAAAGCUCAACUUUGGUGCUGCAUUUGAAACUGUCUUUCUUGAGGAUUGACGGAGAAAGGGGAAUUCCACGAGUAGCGGUGAAAUGCGUAGAUACGUGGAGGAACACCGGUGGCGAAGGCGCCUUUCUAGUUUUUACCUGACGCUGAGGCGCGAGAGCAAGGGGAGCAAACAGG
rnacentral:rRNA from 1 species